CACGAUUUUGUUUUGCUCUUUCUUCUUGAGUCAUUGGACCAUUUCUUUUUCUUUUCCUUCCUGUAUUUUCUGCUUGAUUUGGGUUUUCAUUGCAAACAACAUCUCGAGGAACUGAAGGACCUCCUUGCGGCAUUUUUGGGAUAGACAUU
rnacentral:ribozyme from 12 species